AGCAGCAGGAACCUGCUUCGGUACCCAUUAUGUACGAACGUUCCUGAAAUCACCACCAGGGCGCGCCGACUCAACUUCACUUUUCUCUUCGCCAAGGCAUGCUGUGGACCCCUGCGCUGUAGACAAUGUCAGUGUUCUCCAAUUACCCACACUACGGCGCCGACUUCGCCCAGGCGGAGCUUCAGGGCACCGAGGAGUUCAUCCAUAGGUCGAGAAAGCUCGACUACGCAGCCUUAUUGAACCUUCUACGAAAGGAGGAAUCAUCGAACGAGGCGUUCCACGACACGUGGAACCAGGCGAUGCAAUUCGUUCACCAAAACAAGUUUGCUAUAUUCGACGGCAUCAGCGUCGACACAAGCAUCGCAGUGACAGCGUAUUCCCUGUACACUCCGCGCAUGCUAUGGAGGGACUUCAAUUCGAAAUGUGAGCAAGCUACUCCGGCAUCUUGGGAUGCGUUCCCGUACAAGGCGUGGUGGAGCUUCAUGCUGCAGGUCUUUGAUCAGAUGCCGGCGCCGGACUAUGUACCGCGAGCGUUGUUUUGUGCGGAACCUGAGCUUGAGAUAAGACCCGCGGGAAGCUUCUAUCCUUUUAAGCAGUUUCAAACCGCGAAUUUGGACUGCGACGUCGCAGGGAGCUGCGGAGACUGUGUGGUGGUCUACGAAGAAGUUGAACCGCAUGCGGUGCGUCCGGCAGUUUGGAGUCGGUACUUCCGGAAAUUCGACGUCAUUCUGCAUCCCGCGUGCGUGUUUCAAGUGAAGCGGAUAGAAAGGGGUUUCAGCGGCAAGCCCUACGUUAUUAUGUCCUUCUUUCGCUGAGGUGUGAACGGGACGAACACGUGCUAUCCGCGUUUUUUUUUGUUUUUUUUUUUUUGUGAUAAGUAAUCUCAUGUGAUCAUGAGCCUUGAUAAAUGGAGACGCGAUAUGUUUGGCCAUGUACGCGAAGUGGUAGCGUUUAAAGCCCUUUCUGGAUGGUAUUGUCACGAAGAGAUGUGACAGGUAUUAGAUUUAAAUACGGUGUGACCCACACUCGUGUGUUGUAAUAAAGAAAAUUAGGUACA